CCUACGGGUGGCUGCAGUGGGGAAUCUUGCGCAAUGGGCGAAAGCCUGACGCAGCGACGCCGCGUGGGUGAUGAAGGCCUUCGGGUCGUAAAGCUCUGUGGGGAGAGACGAAUAAAGCGGGAAUAAUACUCUCGACGAUGACGGUAUCUCCUUAGCAAGCACCGGCUAACUCUGUGCCAGCAGCCGCGGUAAGACAGAGGGUGCAAACGUUGUUCGGAAUUACUGGGCGUAAAGCGUGUGUAGGCGGCCACGUAAGUUGGAUGUGAAAGCCCAGG
rnacentral:rRNA from 1 species